ACUUACAGCCAUAUCACCCUGUAGCCCAAGACUGGUUGCCCACUGGAGUGAAGCAGGGUUGAGCCUGCUCAGUAACUUGAUGGGAGACUUCCUGGGAAGACUAGGUUGCUGCUGGAA
ensembl:rRNA 5S_rRNA 5S ribosomal RNA